GGGUAGUCAGCAAGGUUUCAGAGCAAGGAGAAACAGACACUGAGGGACUCCAGUGUCUCUGAGGAAAGGAUAAAGCGGAAUAUUGCUGGUUACAUAAAAGUGUAAAGGUGGGGAAAGGGAUACAAAAUGAAGUAUCUGGGUUUUAUGAACGAUAUCAGAGCAACAGCAUUGACGCAUGAGGAUUAGGACUUGUAGGUUUUCUGGGAGGCAAUUAAGGCUGGAAGCUGGCACCCGGCAAAGGUCACAAUCACACUCAGCCACCAGGACACACUAGAGAUUUGGGGGGCCCCCAGGGGGUGUGGAGGCCCUGGACCGGCCCCAAAGUCCAAGGGUAAGAACACCACUGAGGAUACAGCAACCAGCCUCAGAACUGACACUGAAGACACUGAAGUGGUGGAUAGUUUCUGCCUUUUAGGGUAGACCAUCAACAGUAAAGGCUCCAGCAGUCAAGAAAUAUGCCGCAGACUAGCACUUGGUAGGGUUGCAAUGAAGGCCUUGGAAAGGAUUUUUUAGAUGCCAUGACGUGUCUAUACCUACAAAGAUUUGAAUCGUUUGGACAAUGGUUUCCCCCGUGACACUCUAUGAAUGCAAAAGCUGGACUCUGAAGAAGCAAGAUAGAAAAAGUAUUGACACUUGAACUUUGGUGUUGGAGAAGACUUUUGAGGAUAUCAUGGACAGCCAGGAAAACAAACAAAUGGAUCAUAGAACAAAUCAAUCCAGACUUUUCACUUGAGGCACAAAUGACCAGGCUCAAACUAUCAUACUUGGGAUACAUUAUACAAAAACCCAGCUCCCUUGGGAAGUCCAUAAUGCUGGGGAAAGUUGGAGGAAAGAGAAGAGGAUGAUCAGCAACAAGAUGGAUGGACUCAAUUACGACAGCAGUGAAUGCACCACACAGAUCUCUACCUUUGUACAUUGUACAUAAACUGUAGAGUGGACGUAACAUGUGAAUAGGUCUUAGGGCAUCAAGUGAUUUCUCGUGUGUAUUGAUGAACCACUGCAGAUCAAAUACAGAUAUACACCCUUCAUAUCACUUCAAUGCACAAUGCCAGGGGUGUAGCUAUAAUUGUAAAAGGGGUGUGUGUGGCAAAGGUCCCUGGGCCUUUGAGGGAGAGGGUCCCCGCUAGCUGAGCAAAGGCUUGCUCUCUUCAGUCUCCCGCUCCUGCCUCUCCAAAGGAGGAGUAGGGGUUGGGGCCCCUCUUCACUUCUUUGUCCCAGGUCCCAAUCCAGCCUUGCUACAUCUACACAAUGCUUCAUUCUGAGCAUUCGCUUAUUGAGCUGCAAUUGCAAGUCACCCAGCUCUCGAGUAAUUGAGAGUGAUGAGAACCUAGUGAUACAUAACAUGGGUGAACCAGACUUCAAUAACAGAGCAGAGUCACAUCAAGAGGAAGGUUUUCUUAAUGUUGCUUUAAACCACCCUCUGGCGUUCCAAGCAGCUAAAGGACAUGGCCAUCUAAUAAUUGACUGCAAUGACUCUACUUCCUCUUAAGAUGCCUCAGGCUGUGAUCAGUGGGUUCAACUGUGAAAAAAAAUAGCACAAGGGAGGGAGGGAGAAACAUCCCAUGGCCAGAAUUAGGGUUGCCAACCUCUGUUAACUGAGCAGAGAGACACCUUUUAAAGUGGUGGUUCUCUUAUAUUUAGCAGGGGGAGAGCAACUGGCCCUACCCAACCCCAGCACAGCAUCCCUCCAGGGGCUGUUGCUGGUGUCUACCUUAUGUUUCCUUUUAGAUUGUGAGCCCUUUGGGGACAGGGAACCAUCUUAUUUAUGCAUGGUUUCUUUUUGUAUGUAAAUCGCUUUGAGAACUUUGAUUAAAGAGCAGUAUAUAAAUAUUUGUCGUCGCAGAAAUAACUGAAGUUAUUCCUUCAAAUUAUUUUUUCCAAUAUUUUUAACAUCAGCAU